rnacentral:rRNA from 1 species
GCAUAUCAAUAAGCGGAGGAAAAGAAACCAACGGGUUUACCUUACUAACGGCGAGUGAAGCGGUAAAAGCUCAAAUUUGAAAUCUUCGGAAUUGUAAUUUGUCGGGUAGAAUUUGUUUUUUAAAGAAAGUUCACUGGAAUGUGACGCCACAGAGGGUGAUAGCCCCGUUAACUAAAGAAAACUAUUUAAUUCUAUUCCAAAGAGUCGGGUUGUUUGGGAAUGCAGCUCAAAGUGGGUGGUAAAUUCCAUCUAAAGCUAAAUAUUGGCGAGAGACCGAUAGCGAACAAGUACAGUGAUGGAAAGAUGAAAAGAACUUUGAAAAGAGAGUGAAAUAGUACGUGAAAUUGUUGAAAGGGAAGGGAAAGGGGGAGAUAAUUCAAGUUAAUACCCAGUGUUACUUGACCACAUCUUGCUCUUUUCACCCGUCUUGAAACACGGACCA